rnacentral:rRNA from 1 species
GCUUACGGCCAUACCACCCUGAGAACGCCCGAUCUCGUCUGAUCUCGGAAGCUAAGCAGGGUCGGGCCUGAUUAGUACUUGGAUGGGAUUCUGCCUGGGAAUACCAGGUGCUGUAAGCU